AAGUUUUCGUGUGUUAGUACAGUCUUCUUUGCUAGCAACCAUGAGAAGCAUGCCACCUUUAGGGGAAUUUUAGAAUUUCAGGUUUGUUUCCAAGGCCACCUGCCAGAUUGUGUCAUUGACUUAUUUAGGAACUUGUAUCAGGAACUAAAUCUAUAAGUUCUAUUGCUUUGUUCAUUCUACCACAUUAUGUCCCUUCCAUCUUUAAUUCCUUGGAA
rnacentral:lncRNA from 1 species